UACGGAGGGUGCAAGCGUUAUCCGGAUUCACUGGGUUUAAAGGGUGCGUAGGUGGGUUUGUAAGUCAGUGGUGAAAUCUCCGUGCUUAACAUGGAAACUGCCAUUGAUACUAUAGAUCUUGAAUUUUCUGGAGGAUAGCGGAAUAUGUCAUGUAGCGGUGAAAUGCUUAGAUAUCGUCAAGAACACCGAUAGUGAAGACAGCUAACUAGCUCUAACUGACGCUGAGGCACGAAAGUGUGGGGAUCAAACAGG
rnacentral:rRNA from 1 species